rnacentral:rRNA from 1 species
CCAUCCCAGUUCGGAUUGCAGGCUGCAACCCGCCUGUAUGAAGUUGGAAUCGCUAGUAAUCGCGGAUCAGCAUGCCGCGGUGAAUACGUUCCCGGGCCUUGUACACACCGCCCGUCACACCAUGAGAGUCGGGAACACCCGAAGUCCGUAGCCUAACCGCAAGGGGGGCGCGGCCGAAGGUGGGUUCGAUAAUUGGGGUGAAGUCGUAACAAGGUACC